rnacentral:rRNA from 1 species
GACGAACCGUGCAAACGUUGUUCGGAAUCACUGGGCUUAAAGGGCGCGUAGGCGGGCCAGCCAGUCUGUGGUGAAAGCCUCCAGCUUAACUGGAGAAGUGCCGUGGAUACUGCUGGCCUCGAGGAGGAUAGGGGCAUCUGGAACGGUCGGUGUAGCGGUGGAAUGCGUAGAGAUCGGGAAGAACAUCAGUGGCGAAGGCGGCCUGCUGGGCUGUUGCUGACGCUGAGGCGCGACAGCGUGGGGAGCAAACAGG